rnacentral:rRNA from 1 species
UACGGAGGGUGCAAGCGUUGUCCGGAAUCACUGGGCGUAAAGGGCGCGUAGGCGGCUCAUGAAGGCUGUGGUGAAAGUCCGGGGCUCAACCUCGGAUCGGCCGUGGCGACUCGUGGGCUGGAGCACUGUAGAGGCGGGUGGAAUUCCGGGUGUAGCGGUGGAAUGCGUAGAGAUCCGGAGGAACACCUGUGGCGAAAGCGGCUCACUGGACCACAACUGACGCUGAGGCGCGAAAGCUAGGGGAGCAAACAGG